CAGUCGAGCGAGCGGAACUAACAGAUUUACUUCGGUAAUGACGUUAGGAAAGCGAGCGGCGGAUGGGUGAGUAACACGUGGGGAACCUGCCCCAUAGUCUGGGAUACCACUUGGAAACAGGUGCUAAUACCGGAUAAGAAAGCAGAUCGCAUGAUCAGCUUUUAAAAGGCGGCGUAAGCUGUCGCUAUGGGAUGGCCCCGCGGUGCAUUAGCUAGUUGGUAAGGUAAAGGCUUACCAAGGCGAUGAUGCAUAGCCGAGUUGAGAGACUGAUCGGCCACAUUGGGACUGAGACACGGCCCAAACUCCUACGGGAGGCAGCAGUAGGGAAUCUUCCACAAUGGACGCAAGUCUGAUGGAGCAACGCCGCGUGAGUGAAGAAGGUUUUCGGAUCGUAAAGCUCUGUUGUUGGUGAAGAAGGAUAGAGGUAGUAACUGGCCUUUAUUUGACGGUAAUCAACCAGAAAGUCACGGCUAACUACGUGCCAGCAGCCGCGGUAAUACGUAGGUGGCAAGCGUUGUCCGGAUUUAUUGGGCGUAAAGCGAGCGCAGGCGGAAGAAUAAGUCUGAUGUGAAAGCCCUCGGCUUAACCGAGGAACUGCAUCGGAAACUGUUUUUCUUGAGUGCAGAAGAGGAGAGUGGAACUCCAUGUGUAGCGGUGGAAUGCGUAGAUAUAUGGAAGAACACCAGUGGCGAAGGCGGCUCUCUGGUCUGCAACUGACGC
rnacentral:rRNA from 1 species